rnacentral:rRNA from 1 species
UACGAAGGGGCUAGCGUUGCUCGGAAUCACUGGGCGUAAAGCGCACGUAGGCGGAUUGCUAAGUCAGGGGUGAAAUCCUGGAGCUCAACUCCAGAACUGCCUUUGAUACUGGCGACCUUGAGUCCGGGAGAGGUGAGUGGAACUGCGAGUGUAGAGGUGAAAUUCGUAGAUAUUCGGAAGAACACCAGUGGCGAAGGCGGCUCACUGGUCCGGUACUGACGCUGAUGUGCGAAAGCGUGGGGAGCAAACAGG